GACUGCGUAGCUCAGUUGGAAGAGCAUUGGGCUAGUAUUCCAAAGGUCGUAGGUUCGAACCCUACCGUGGCCG
rnacentral:tRNA from 1 species